AUGAAUUGGUGUAAAUUCAUUGUCGACUUCCUGCAUGAUGCAUUCUCAAAUAAGAUGUACCAAAAGGGAUGUCGCUUGCAUCUAAUGGCAAGGGCACCUGUUGAGCACCUAGUUGAGAAGUUUGCUUCCGACAUGACCAGCUUGCUUGGGAAGUUGGUCGAGGGUUGGACAACACUUAACGGUUCUGACAGUGAUGCGGUUGCGAGGCACUUCACAUCAUUUAUUGGAAAACAGACACAUCGUCCAACUUUUUGUCGUGGCUGGUAUGACUACAACAGCUCUGAGGAGCUUCCUAACACACAAGAUGAGCUAGACGGGGAUGGUUUUGGUGGCAUUGAUGCUGGUCUCGACAAGGACGGCAACGAUGACAUGGAGAAUGUGCCGCACGACAGUGACCACGAUGAACAUCACGAAGAUCAUGUGGGGGGCAAGCAGGACAAGGCUGCACCGAAAGUUCCUCUACCGGAGGGAGGCAUUGAUCUGAAUGCUGCGAGAGACACGGGGGUUUCGCUCUCAAAGAGGGGCAGGGCUCCAGAGGAUGAUGUCCAAGGCAAUGUUGGGGAGAGGUGUAGGGCUGAUCCUGUAGCUGCUAGGAGGAGUGAGGCGACAGCUGGUGGAUGA
rnacentral:rRNA from 1 species